UCCCUGGUAGUAUAUCGGUUAGUACACGCGCCUGUCAUGCCGUAUGUCCACAGGUUAACGCGCGAAAGCUGGGUUCGACUCCCAGCCAGGGAG